ensembl:lncRNA
CUGAUGUCAGGAGAACAAGAUUUUCCAAGGAUGGAGUCGGGCGGCGCUUAUCAGCGAUGCUGACGGUCCACGGCUGCGUUCGCUUGUUAGGGCUCAUAUCACAGAGCACCAGGGGGCUUCCCAGGGGGCGCUGGUGGUAAAGAAUCCGCUGGCCAAUCCAGGAGACCUAAGAGAAGCGGCUCUGAUCCCUGGGCCGGGAAGAUCCCCUGGAGGGCACGGCAGUCCACUCCAGUACUCUCGUCUAGAGAAUCCCAUGGACAGAAGAGCCUGGUGGCUGCAGUCACAAAAAACUCAGACGUGACUUAGUGACUAAACAACAAAAGGAAAUGCGGGCAUUAGAUAGUCCUUGGCUGGCAUUUCGAUCGCACGGCAUACACUCUCUCAUCACUGCAACAGGGUCACUUACUAAAUACAUCUAAGAGGAACUCUGACAGUCCUGAGAAAUCUGACCACGUGACUCUGGCACAACACAGAUGCUUAGUGACGACAUUCCAGCAGACUACCCACAAAGCUGUGUUUGACUAAGAAGACAUCAUCCUGUGAGACCUUCUCAGGAAAUUACUAAAGAAGGCUGAGCCCUGAAGAACUGAUGCUUUCAAAUCAUGGCGCUGGA